rnacentral:rRNA from 1 species
AUUGAACGCUGGCGGCAGGCCUAACACAUGCAAGUCGAACGGUAACAGGAAGAAGCUUGCUUCUUUGCUGACGAGUGGCGGACGGGUGAGUAAUGUCUGGGAAACUGCCUGAUGGAGGGGGAUAACUACUGGAAACGGUAGCUAAUACCGCAUAACGUCGCAAGACCAAAGAGGGGGACCUUCGGGCCUCUUGCCAUCGGAUGUGCCCAGAUGGGAUUAGCUAGUAGGUGGGGUAACGGCUCACCUAGGCGACGAUCCCUAGCUGGUCUGAGAGGCUGCCAAGCCACACUGGAACUGAGACACGGUCCAGACUCCUACGGGAGGCAGCAGUGGGGAAUAUGGCACAAUGGGCGCAAGCCUGAUGCAGCCAUGCCGCGUGUAUGAAGAAGGCCUUCGGGUUGUAAAGUACUUUCAGCGGGGAGGAAGGGAGUAAAGUUAAUACCUUUACUCAUUGACGUUACCCGCAGAAGAAGCACCGGCUAACUCCGUG